AACGAACGCUGGCGGCAUGCCUAACACAUGCAAGUCGAACGAGACCUUCGGGUCUAGUGGCGCACGGGUGCGUAACGCGUGGGAACCUGCCCUUCGGCUCGGAAUAACUCCCCGAAAGGGGUGCUAAUACCGGAUAAUGUCUUCGGACCAAAGAUUUAUCGCCUUUGGAUGGGCCCGCGUUGGAUUAGCUAGUUGGUAGGGUAAAAGCCUACCAAGGCGACGAUCCAUAGCUGGUCGGAGAGGAUGAGCAGCCACACUGGGACUGAGACACGGCCCAGACUCCGACGGGAGGCAGCAGUGGGGAAUAGUGGACGAUGGGCGAAAGCCUGAUCCAGCAAUGCCGCGUGAGUGAUGAAGGCUUUAGGGGUGUAAAGCUCUUUUACCCGGGAUGAUAAUGACAGUACCGGGAGAAUAAGCUCCGGCUAACUCCGUG
rnacentral:rRNA from 1 species